rnacentral:rRNA from 1 species
AACGUAGGAGACGAACGUUAUCCGGAGUUACUGGGCGUAAAGGGCGUGUAGGCGGUUCGUUAAGUCUGGCGUGAAAGCUCUCGGCUAAACCGGGAGAGGUCGUUGGAUACUGGCGAACUAGAGGAUGGUAGAGGCGUGUGGAAUUCCGGGUGUAGUGGUGAAAUGCGUAGAGAUCCGGAGGAACACCAGUGGCGAAGGCGACACGCUGGGCCAUACCUGACGCUAAAGCGCGACAGCAUGGGGAGCAAACGGG